AGACCUUGAAGGGAAUCUUCUAAGGCAGGGAAGAAGCAGAGACUUGUAUCUAUUGAAUCAAAAUACAAGCAGAUUCUAUGUCCAAGGCUGACCAGUUCUCUGGUGGUUACUGCUACUGAUCCAUCCAAACUGCUGGACUUGUCCUUCAUACCCAAGGUCUUCAGGCAGUAUCUAAUGGGAAGUCAACUCUAAAAGGAACCAGACUGUCAUUUCCUGGCCCCUUUAUUCUGUAGCUGCCUCUAUGUGAGGAAAGGAUAGAAAACACUCAAGACAUCAUAUGGGCUUACGAUCUACAGAUUCCAACCAGUAGCAGGGGCUGACUCCUACACAAGAAGACUGGGAACUGCAAACAGGCUGGGGUCACCUCAGUGACAUCUGACGCUGUCCAACCAGAAGUCUGACUUGUGUGUGCGUGUGCUGCAGGAAUUGAAAAAUGUACU
rnacentral:lncRNA from 1 species